AAAGUUGUCCCGAAGUUCAUCCCAAUUUCCAUUAACGCCUUCUACAGAAUGAGCAUACCACUUCUUUGCUCUUCCCAAAAGGGAGAACGGAAAUAAUUUCCAUUUAAGGGUUUCUUGUGUCAUGCCAGAAAUAGAUCGGCAAGAGCACAACUGCUCGAAUUCUCUAAGGUGGGUGUAUGGAUCUUCAUCUACUUGCCCAGAGAAGGGUUGCUCCUGAAUCAUGGCUAUUAGAUCAGGGCCGAGGUCGUAGCCAUCUGUAAGAAUUGGAUGCGAUGAUGGUGGUGGCUCUAAUAACUCGCCCUUUGGAGCAAAGGAUUUAUAGAUAGGAGUGAAAUCCAUGUGGUGUGGUGAAAAUGGUAAAAAAAGAAAAGAAAAAAGGAUACACGGACGACUUGGUUCGAAACUAGCACAGCUACCGUUCCCCGGCAACGGCGCCAGAAAGCUUGUUGGGUAUUUUAAACGCAAACAGAAAAAUCCGCAAGCGCACGGAUACCGAUGUAGCUUUCACCCGGGAGUAUUCCAGAGUAUCGAUUUUCCACAGAGAACGUGAGUGUACUAAUUAAGAUCCAAGAUCGCCCAAGGAUAACUAUAUAAUUAUUUUUGGUGGG
rnacentral:lncRNA from 1 species